GGCAAAGAGGAAGUUAUGCCCUUUUCUAUUUUCUAUGAACUACAGAGAUACAGAGAACGCUACCAAGCGUUCAUAGCGACGUCGUUUUUUGAUCCUUUGAUGUUGGCUCUUCCUAUCAUUGUGAAGCAGAAUUCACCAAGCGUUGGAUUGUUCACCCACUAGUAGGGAACGUGAGCUGGGAUUAGACCGUCGUGAGACAGGUUAGUUUUACCCU
rnacentral:ncRNA from 1 species